AAUUGUAGAUUUUUGGCUUGCAGUUAUUCUGAAGCUUUGAUAUAAGAGUCUGUAUGUAUAUGAGAUUGUUUUAAGUUGUUGUGCUCUUAAUUGCAAGUUCAUCUCCAGUGUCCUGCAUUUGUACCCACCUCUUCUCAUGAUUUCUGAUUGUGGUGGUAUAAUUGUGCAUGGAUGCUUUCGUAUCUUUACUGUAUAUAUACCUUUACUGGUGAGCCUUGUCAUUUGUGGAAUUAUUGUUUUCUGUUGCUGUCUUUUCUUUUCUGCCUAGAGAAGUUCCUUUAGUAUUUGUUGUAAGGCUGGUUUAGUGUUGCCAAAUCCUCUCAACUUUUGCUUAUCUGUGAAGGUUUUGAUGUCUCCUUCAAAUCUGAACGAGAGCCUUGUUGGGUAGACUAAUCUUGGUUGGAGGUUUUUUCCUUUUAUGACGUUAAGUAUAUCAUGCCACUCCCUUCUGGCCUGCAGAGUUUCUGCUGAAAAACCUGCCGAUAACUUUUUUGGGGUUCCCUUGUAUGUUGCUUGUUUCUUUUCCCUAGCUGCUUUCAAGAUUUUCUCUUUGUCUUUAAUUUUGGUCAGUUUGAUGAAUAUGUGUAUCGGGGUGUUCCUCCUUGGGUUUAUUUUAUAUGGUACUCGUUGUGCUCCCUGGAUUUGAGUGAGUGGUUCCUUUCCCAUGUGAGGGAUGUUUUCAGCUAUUAUCUCUUGGAAUAUUUUUUCUGUCCCCUUCUCUCUCUCUUCUCCUUCUGGCCCCCCUAAAAUACAGAUGUUGGUGUGUUUAACGUUGUCCCAGAGUUCUCUGAGACUCUCUUCAUUUCUUUUCAAUCUUUUUUCUCUUUUCUGUUCCGCAUCCAUAAUUUCCAUAAUCUGUCCACCACCUCGCUUAUUCAUUCUUCUGCCUGCUGUAUUCUGCUGUUAGCUGCUUCUAUUAUUGUAUUUUGCAUCUCUUCUUGUUUAAGUUUUAUAUCUUGUAUCUCUUUGGUCAGUGUUUCCUGUAAGUUAUCCAUCUUUGCCUCCAGUUUAUUUCCAAUGUCUUGCAUCAUCUUCAGCAUCAACAGUCUAAAGUCUUUUUCCUGGAGGCUGAGAAUCUCCUCAUCGCUUAGCUGAUUUUCUGGGG
rnacentral:lncRNA from 1 species